rnacentral:rRNA from 1 species
GCGCAGCAGGCGAGAAACCUCUGCAAUAGGCGAAAGCUUGACAGGGUUACUCUGAGUGACGUCCGUUAAGGACGUCUUUUGGCACCUCUAAAAAUGGUGCAGAAUAAGGGGUGGGCAAGUCUGGUGUCAGCCGCCGCGGUAAUACCAGCACCCCGAGUGGUCGGGACGAUUAUUGGGCCUAAAGCAUCCGUAGCCGGUUCUGCAAGUCUUCCGUUAAAUCCACCUGCUCAACAGAUGGGCCGCGGAGGAUACUACAGGGCUAGGAGGCGGGAGAGGCAAGCGGUACUCAGUGGGUAGGGGUAAAAUCCUCUGAUCCACUGAAGACCACCAGUGGCGAAGGCGGCUUGCCAGAACGCGCUCGACGGUGAGGGAUGAAAGCUGGGGGAGCAAACCGGAUUAGAUACCCGUGUAGUCC